ACGCUCGACACCUACGGGAGGUAGCAGUAGGGAAUCUUCCACAAUGGGCGCAAGCCUGAUGGAGCAACACCGCGUGAGUGAAGAAGGGUUUCGGCUCGUAAAGCUCUGUUGUUGGAGAAGAACGUGCGUGAGAGUAACUGUUCACGCAGUGACGGUAUCCAACCAGAAAGUCACGGCUAACUACGUGCCAGCAGCCGCGGUAAUCUGAGGCGGGCUGGCAAGGC
rnacentral:rRNA from 1 species